AUUUGAUGAUGUGGGCAGCUUGCACACAACUUCUUGAAGCAUUCCCAAUAUUCAUACAAGGUCUUUCCAUUAUACUACCGAAUACAACAUAUUUCUUUCCUCAUGCU